UCGUUUUAACAUGCUAAAUAUACCCGGUUUGGUUUCACUUGAUAAAUAUAUCAUUCUCCAUAACAUUUCUUUCUUUCAUUAUCGUUUUAUCAUCUCCGUUUUGUUUCCUCAAUUAUCGUUUAUUACUUCAUCCAAGUGAACAUUACUAAACCCUAAACCUAAACCUAAACCCUAAACACUAAAGCUAAACCCUAAACCCUAACCUUAAACCCUAANAACCCUAAAUUUAAACCCUAAACACUAAAGUUAAACCGUAAAAGCUAAAUCUAAACCCUAAACCCUAAACCCUAAACCCUAACCCUAAACCCUAAACCUUAAACCUUAACCCUAAACCCUAAACCCUAAACUCUAAACCCUAAACCCUAUUGUGUCCAUCUUGAAUUUACAUCUUGAA
rnacentral:lncRNA from 1 species